GACGAACGCUGGCGGCGUGCCUAACACAUGCAAGUCGAACGGAAAGGCCCUGCUUUUGUGGGGUGCUCGAGUGGCGAAAGGGUGAGUAACACGUGAGUAACCUGCCCUUGACUUUGGGAUAACUUCAGGAAACUGGGGCUAAUACCGGAUAGGAGCUCCUGCUGCAUGGUGGGGGUUGGAAAGUUUCGGCGGUUGGGGAUGGACUCGCGGCUUAUCAGCUUGUUGGUGGGGUAGUGGCUUACCAAGGCUUUGACGGGUAGCCGGCCUGAGAGGGUGACCGGCCACAUUGGGACUGAGAUACGGCCCAGACUCCUACGGGAGGCAGCAGUGGGGAAUAUUGCACAAUGGGCGGAAGCCUGAUGCAGCAACGCCGCGUGCGGGAUGACGGCCUUCGGGUUGUAAACCGCUUUCGCCUGUGACGAAGCGUGAGUGACGGUAAUGGGUAAAGAAGCACCGGCUAACUACGUG
rnacentral:rRNA from 1 species